rnacentral:rRNA from 1 species
UAGGGAAUCUUCGGCAAUGGACGAAAGUCUGACCGAGCAACGCCGCGUGAGUGAAGAAGGUUUUCGGAUCGUAAAACUCUGUUGUUAGAGAAGAACAAGGACGUUAGUAACUGAACGUCCCUUGACGGUAUCUAACCAGAAAGCCACGGCUACCUACGUGCCAGCAGCCGCGGUAAUACGUAGGUGGCAAGCGUUGUCCGGAUUUAUUGGGCGUAAAGCGAGCGCAGGCGGUUUCUUAAGUCUGUUGUGAAAGCCCCCGGCUCAACCGGGGAGGGUCAUUGGAAACUGGGAGACUUGAGUGCAGAAGAGGAGAGUGGAAUUCCAUGUGUAGCGGUGAAAUGCGUAGAUAUAUGGAGGAACACCAGUGGCGAAGGCGGCUCUCUGGUCUGUAACUGACGCUGAGGCUCGAAAGCGUGGGGAGCAAACAGG